rnacentral:rRNA from 1 species
GUCUAUGGCCACACCACUCUGAGUGCACCCAAUCUUGGAAGCUAAGCAGGGUCAGGCCUGGUCAGUACUUGGGAGAAAGGCACACUGGUGAUAUAAUUA